AACGAACGCUGGCGGCGCGCCUAAUACAUGCAAGUCGAGCGAGAAAGUGUAGCAAUACACUUGUAAAGCGGCGAACGGGUGAGGAAUACAUGGGUAAUCUACCAUCGAGUGGGGAAUAACCAACCGAAAGGUUGGCUAAUACCGCGUACGCCUCCGAGUCUUCGGGUUCGGAGGGAAAGCUGCACUGUGAGUGUAGCGCUCUUUGAUGAGCUCAUGUCCUAUCAGCUUGUUGGUAGGGUAAUGGCCUACCAAGGCUUUGACGGGUAGCUGGUCUGAGAGGACGAUCAGCCACACUGGCACUGCGACACGGGCCAGACUCCUACGGGAGGCAGCAGUAAGGAAUAUUGCGCAAUGGGCGAAAGCCUGACGCAGCGACGCCGCGUGGGGGAUGAAGGUCUUCGGAUUGUAAACCCCUUUCGGGAGGGAAGAUGGAGCGAGCAAUCGUUCGGACGGUACCUCCAGAAGCAGCCACGGCCAACUUCGUGCC
rnacentral:rRNA from 1 species